UAAUGUGGCUCGCACAGCAUUUGAAUUACUAUCCAGAGAUAAAGCAGAAUAAGUGUGCGUACAUGUGCGUGUUUCAGACAGGCUCUCUCCAAGGACAGGCUGAUGGAGAUAUGUGAGUGUGUGAGAGACAGACAGAGGAAUCCUAAAGCUGGAGGAAAUCUUAAUCCCAAAAGGCUUCUCCAAGGAUGGGCUGACAGAGACGUGUGGUUGGGAGCACUCACCUGGAUGUUGAGAGGCAGCUGUGGACAGGAAGGCAAGAAGAGAGCAUGUGGGCUGGCAAACCCUUCAGAGCGCUCUCUCCCACUCCAGGGGGCACACACACAUACUCCAGUCUGAGCAAAGCAUAAAGAACUCUUAGGAGAGAGAAAUGGAACUCUCAGGAGAGAAAUGAGGACUGAGAAGUCCUGAGUGAAGUCGGAACUGAGAGUCCCAAAAGCAGACUCUGCUGUAGUCGCACUGUGUGGAACUGCUCAGCCCCUGCGGGGUCACCCAGGACCUAAGAGGGACACCACUCAACCUGGAUGCUAGG